CAAAAAGCCGGUCUCAGUUCGGAUUGGGGUCUGCAACUCGACCCCAUGAAGUCGGAGUCGCUAGUAAUCGCAGAUCAGCAACGCUGCGGUGAAUACGUUCCCGGGCCUUGUACACACCGCCCGUCACGUCACGAAAGUCGGUAACACCCGAAGCCGGUGGCCCAACUCGCAAGAGAGGGAGCCGUCGAAGGUGGGAUCGGCGAUUGGGACGAAGUCGUAACAAGGUAGCCGUACCGGAAGGUGCGGCUGGAUCACCUCCUUU
rnacentral:rRNA from 1 species